rnacentral:rRNA from 1 species
AACGAACGCUGGCGGCAGGCUUAACACAUGCAAGUCGAACGCCCCGCAAGGGGAGUGGCAGACGGGUGAGUAACGCGUGGGAACAUACCCUUUCCUGCGGAAUAGCUCCGGGAAACUGGAAUUAAUACCGCAUACGCCCUACGGGGGAAAGAUUUAUCGGGGAAGGAUUGGCCCGCGUUGGAUUAGCUAGUUGGUGGGGUAAAGGCCUACCAAGGCGACGAUCCAUAGCUGGUCUGAGAGGAUGAUCAGCCACAUUGGGACUGAGACACGGCCCAAACUCCUACGGGAGGCAGCAGUGGGGAAUAUUGGACAAUGGGCACAAGCCUGAUCCAGCCAUGCCGCGUGAGUGAUGAAGGCCUUAGGGUUGUAAAGCUCUUUCACCGAUGAAGAUAAUGACGGUAGUCGGAGAAGAAGCCCCGGCUAACUUCGUG